GGACCACUCACUUGUGUUGAUGAGGAACUGGUUGGAGACCCCAGGGUGGUCCACAUCAUGAAUGGCAGCUGCGAAGAGGGCUGCGAGAAUCUCCAGGUCUGUGAACACCGCCUGGUGACAGAGAGUUGGGGACGCUGAGAGACAGUAUUAGAAUGAAGGGGAGUGACAGGUGAAGGACCUAAGACCCAGAGAAGUGACCCGGCUGUUCCAAGAUCCUGAGGUGGCUCACAAGUGGCAAAGCUGGAAGUCGACCCAGCUCAGCCUCUAAGAAGUGGGGGCGGCAGGCAUGAGCACCCCUCUCGGAAGGCCCCUUCACCCUUCGGCUUCUCACCACGUCCUGGGAAGACUCACCCAAAAGGGUGAACCCUGUUUGAGUGGCACUCGGAUGGGUGCUCUGUGGCUGGCAGCCAGAGGGGGU